rnacentral:misc_RNA from 1 species
GAAAUGCGAUAAUUAAUGUGAAUUGCAGAAUUCAGUGAAUCAUCGAGUCUUUGAACGCACAUUGCGCCCCCUGGUAUUCCGGGGGGCAUGCCUGUCCGAGCGUCAUUGCUGCCCUCAAACACGGCUUGUGUGUUGGGCUUCCGUCCCUGGCAACGGGGACGGGCACAAAAGGCAGUGGCGGCACCAUGUCUGGUCCUCGAGCGUAUGGGGCUUUGUCACCCGCUCCCGUAGGUCCAGCUGGCAGCUAGCCUCGCAACCAAUCUUUUUAACCAGGUUGACCUCGGAUCAGGUAGGGAUACCCGCUGAACUUAAGC